ensembl:ncRNA lncRNA:CR46032 long non-coding RNA:CR46032
AUUUGGAAGGCAGUCAACAUUUUUCCUGCCUAAUGAAGACUUGAAAAUUGGGAACACAUUCAGUCGACCAUAUCCUUCGUCCUUGCAUCGCCCUUAUCCAUUUUACGCAUAAUAAACCGUAUACCACCGCCGUUCUAACUGGUUACAGCCCGAGCAGCUGUUGCCACUCUGCAUUCCUCUUAACCCUUGUUUGUAGUUGGUGCUGCUCUUAUGACAAAACAAUUUCGAAAACCAGAUUUGACGAGACGAGAUGGAGGGCACAGGUAUAAUAUACGUAAAGAUGGCAAAGAUACGCAUAAGAAUCCAAGGCAAACUUGAAGUUUAUUUUUGGCACACACACACACAGCAGUCGAGCAGAGUCGUCAGUCAGCUGGUGGAGAUUAUGAUUAUGCAAACGGAUUGCAGUGGAUAGUGAUCAUUAAAUGGCAUUAGAUCAUAAUAACCACCUUAGGCCAGCCGUCAAUCCGUCAUUUCAGCAUCGAACACACUUUAAAUAAUUGCACAUUUCGUCCGAGAGACUUUAAUAAAAUAAUUAAAAUGAAAUAUGCGGAGCUCGCUAGUUGGGAAAUCCAAUUUUUUCUUUUCGCCAAUUCAGAAAAUUGCGAUGGGGAUCAAAAGAAGGAGAGGAACCAGCUAAAGCGACCGCAGACUGGAGACCGAUGGCAUAAAAUUCUGCGGGCUACCAAUCUACGC